rnacentral:rRNA from 1 species
GGGGCGAUGUCCGGAUUAUUGGGCGUAAGAGCUCGUAGGCGGUCUGUCGCGUCGGCUGUGAAAACUCGGGGCUCAACCCCGAGCCUGCAGUCGAUACGGGCAGACUAGAGUGCUGUAGGGGAGACUGGAAUUCCUGGUGUAGCGGUGAAAUGCGCAGAUAUCAGGAGGAACACCGGUGGCGAAGGCGGGUCUCUGGGCAGUAACUGACGCUGAGGAGCGAAAGCGUGGGGAGCGAACAGGAUUAGAUACCCUGGUAGUCCACGCCGUAAACGGUGGGUGCUAGGUGUAGGGGGUAUUCCACGCCCUCUGUGCCGCAGCUAACGCAUUAAGCACCCCGCCUGGGGAGUACGGCCGCAAGGCUAAAACUCAAAGGAAUUGACGGGGGCCCGCACAAGCAGCGGAGCAUGUGGCUUAAUUCGACGCAACGCGAAGAACCUUACCAAGGCUUGACAUACACCGAAAACUCGUAGAGAUACGGGGUCCGCAAGGGCGGUGUACAGGUGGUGCAUGGUUGUCGUCAGCUCGUGUCGUGAGAUGUUGGGUUAAGUCCCGCAACGAGCGCAACCCUCGUUCUAUGUUGCCAGCGCGUUAUGGCGGGGACUCAUAGGAGACUGCCGGGGUCAACUCGGAGGAAGGUGGGGACGACGUCAAAUCAUCAUGCCCCUUAUGUCUUGGGCUGCACACAUGCUACAAUGGCCGGUACAAAGGGCUGCUAAACCGCGAGGUGGAGCGAAUCCCAAAAAGCCGGUCUCAGUUCGGAUUGGGGUCUGCAACUCGACCCCAUGAAGUCGGAGUUGCUAGUAAUCGCAGAUCAGCAACGCUGCGGUGAAUACGUUCCCGGGCCUUGUACACACCGCCCGUCACGUCACGAAAGUCGGUAACACCCGAAGCCAGUGGCCCAACUCGCAAGAGAGGGAGCUGUCGAAGGUGAGGUCAGCGAUUGGGGUGAAGUCGUAACAGGGUAACCC